GCUGCAGGGAUACGGCAUGGCAGCCCUCCAGCAGCCGCCCCACAUCGUCCCCCACAGCACGGCCACGGGAUGGGGGCGGCCCCGCAGCGCUCACCCGGCCACCUGGUUGAUGACAGGGGCGAAGUUGGUGGGCCCAUAGAGCUGCACGGUGCGCAGGCUCUGCAGGGUUCAGCACCUGCGGGCACCAGGCAGGUCCCUCUGUGGGGCUCCCCACGCCCCCAAAGCUGCCCCACUGUGGCCCCUGCCCUACCUCAUACACCGUGAACUGGCUCUGUGCACGGGACAGCUCACGGUAGCUGGUGGCAAACUCCCCGAUGAAGUCGUGGCUGCAGGAGGAGCGCAGGGGCUGCGUGUGUUAUGGGAUGAGGAACACCCCGAUGUCACUGUGCUGCCCUUUGGGGCACGGCCUCACCUCCCAUCCCUGUCCCAGUCGUACACAUCAAUCUUCACUGUGCUGGAAGUAAAGCGGGGCUGAGGGGGAGCCUCUGGCAUGGCCCACAGUGUGCAGGGCUCAGUGUGCCAUCAGAGUAACACUGCAUGCCCAGGGAGGGGAGCAGGGAAUUUGGGUCAUGGUGGAGCUCUGGGGAGGGGGGAAGCUUUUAUGUAAUUUGGAUUGUAAAAGGAAAAAGAAAAAAGAGAACACCACUAAGAA